UGCGAGUUACAGUUCUGGUUGAACUGGUCAGUCUCAUAAACUGAAUAAAGGUAGGUUCGAUUCCUGCACUCGCCU
rnacentral:tRNA from 1 species